rnacentral:rRNA from 1 species
CUUGCAGGGUACUCGAGUGGCGAACGGGUGAGUAACACGUGGGUGACCUGCCCCGCACUUCGGGAUAAGCCUGGGAAACUGGGUCUAAUACCGGAUAGGAGCCAUUUUUAGUAUGAUGGUUGGAAAGUUUUUCGGUGUAGGAUGAGCUCGCGGCCUAUCAGCUUGUUGGUGGGGUAAUGGCCUACCAAGGCGGCGACGGGUAGCCGGCCUGAGAGGGUGGACGGCCACAUUGGGACUGAGAUACGGCCCAG